rnacentral:rRNA from 1 species
GAUGAACGCUAGCUACAGGCUUAACACAUGCAAGUCGAGGGGCAGCAUGGUCUUAGCUUGCUAAGGCCGAUGGCGACCGGCGCACGGGUGAGUAACACGUAUCCAACCUGCCGUCUACUCUUGGACAGCCUUCUGAAAGGAAGAUUAAUACAAGAUGGCAUCAUGAGUCCGCAUGUUCACAUGAUUAAAGGUAUUCCGGUAGACGAUGGGGAUGCGUUCCAUUAGAUAGUAGGCGGGGUAACGGCCCACCUAGUCUUCGAUGGAUAGGGGUUCUGAGAGGAAGGUCCCCCACAUUGGAACUGAGACACGGUCCAAACUCCUACGGGAGGCAGCAGUGAGGAAUAUUGGUCAAUGGGCGAGAGCCUGAACCAGCCAAGUAGCGUGAAGGAUGACUGCCCUAUGGGUUGUAAACUUCUUUUAUAAAGGAAUAAAGUCGGGUAUGGAUACCCGUUUGCAUGUACUUUAUGAAUAAGGAUCGGCUAACUCCGUGCCAGCAGCCGCGGUAAUACGGAGGAUCCGAGCGUUAUCCGGAUUUAUUGGGUUUAAAGGGAGCGUAGAUGGAUGUUUAAGUCAGUUGUGAAAGUUUGCGGCUCAACCGUAAAAUUGCAGUUGAUACUGGAUAUCUUGAGUGCAGUUGAGGCAGGCGGAAUUCGUGGUGUAGCGGUGAAAUGCUUAGAUAUCACGAAGAACUCCGAUUGCGAAGGCAGCCUGCUAAGCUGCAACUGACAUUGAGGCUCGAAAGUGUGGGUAUCAAACAGGAUUAGAUACCCUGGUAGUCCACACGGUAAACGAUGAAUACUCGCUGUUUGCGAUAUACUGCAAGCGGCCAAGCGAAAGCGUUAAGUAUUCCACCUGGGGAGUACGCCGGCAACGGUGAAACUCAAAGGAAUUGACGGGGGCCCGCACAAGCGGAGGAACAUGUGGUUUAAUUCGAUGAUACGCGAGGAACCUUACCCGGGCUUAAAUUGCAGAUGAAUUACGGUGAAAGCCGUAAGCCGCAAGGCAUCUGUGAAGGUGCUGCAUGGUUGUCGUCAGCUCGUGCCGUGAGGUGUCGGCUUAAGUGCCAUAACGAGCGCAACCCUUGUUGUCAGUUACUAACAGGUUCCGCUGAGGACUCUGACAAGACUGCCAUCGUAAGAUGUGAGGAAGGUGGGGAUGACGUCAAAUCAGCACGGCCCUUACGUCCGGGGCUACACACGUAUUACAAUGGGGGGUACAGAGGGCCGCUACCACGCGAGUGGAUGCCAAUCCCCAAAACCUCUCUCAGUUCGGACUGGAGUCUGCAACCCGACUCCACGAAGCUGGAUUCGCUAGUAAUCGCGCAUCAGCCACGGCGCGGUGAAUACGUCCCCGGGCCU